GCCGCAUCGAUGGCCCAUUGUGAGCCCAGCUGCGUUCAGGGAGAGUCCAGCCACCUCAUUCGUCAUCGACGACGCCGACCGCCGGCCAAGCCGUCGCGCGCGAGGGCCACGGCGAGCAUCCACCGGGAGAGGCAUCGAUGACACCGGCCACGGCAUGGAGAGUAUAGGCUGGAAGCAACACAAGCAUUUUCAUCUGUGGAGCAAAGCAAAACAAAGACAGGCAUAAGCUAUCUUAAACAUGUAGUUAACCAAACCAACAAGCUAAGGUGAUGGAACUAAACAUUGGCAUGCUUGUAGUGGGUUUGGUCUUGCGAAUAUUCCAAUCUCUGAUUAUGUCUUGAGACUACCAUAAAAAAAUGCUUUUGAAGUGCUGGCUUCUGUUUCCUCUGGACAUGAGCACAUCCAUUUCUUUAUUGCCAUCAUAUCAAAGAGUAGUCUACCCGUCCUUUCUAGAUAAUCUAAGCUAGCAUGCAUCAUGACAGGCAAGAAAUUUGUUCAUCACCAUCGAUUGAUCCUUUAAGUUACUUCCUUGCUGGCCACAGUGUUUCAGUGCCCUCUCUCGCAAUGCCAUCUCACAAAGAGUUUUCAUCAGCCACCUUGUUCCACAAGAUAACAAAUGAUUGGAUGAUUAUUAUACUCGGUAUGUUAUCACUAGUUUUCUAUAAGGUUAAUCUGUACUUUUGUCUACAGAAACCACAUUAUGUUCAUAUUAUGUGCAAAUCUGUGGAAUACAUGGCACGGAACAUAGUGAUGAUGAAUUUGUUCCCAACAUUCAUAUUUUGUCCCUUUCUUGCGAGUACAACCUAUCAUGGUAAUGCCUCAAUGAGAUUAUCAUAUUUUUGUUAUAUUCUUUUUGUUUAUACGCUGAUAUAUCGCACUAAAAGUGAUCAAAUUCUCUUUAUUUUAGGGCAUAUUUAUGUUCCCUUGACUGGAUUGCCAUGGCAUGGAUUAAAUCUGUUCAGGUCACGCAAUCACCAGACUAACGAUCAUGCACUCAAUAGAGAUAAAAUUAUAAUAGUUCAUGUACAUGUCAUCUAACCAAUUUCAUAGUCAAAUCCUGGCACCCAAAAAAUGGCUUAUCCAAGAAAAAUGAACAUUUAUCUUAUUUCGAUCUGCAAUAGUUUUAGUUUCUUACCUAACUGAUUAGACAUGCAUGCACAUAGUGGAGUUUGACUUCUUGUUUUUGCUAACUAUUUACAGUACACUUAUUGAUACAGUUUGUGCCACAUUUACCACUUUGUAAUGCCUAGACAGCGGUGACAGUUCAAAGUUGGAUAUGCACUUCAGUACAGGAUCUAGUCCCUUUUCAUUGGACCAUUCAAGGGCAUCUUAUUGCAAAUCCUUGUGUCCACUCUAAAAUUUGGGUGCUGAUAAAGGCGAGGUUCUUUCCCUUCCCAACUUGCUUACAUUUCACCAUCUUUGAGAAGGUUGCAUUAUGUUUCUUUUCAAAAAAGAAGAGACAAUAUGGUGGUUAUGUUUACGUUUUAGACUUUUAGUCUAUUGAUUAAUUUACCAUAGAAAUUGCAGCAUAGUCUCGAAAGUGUUAGCAUGGGUAGUGCACCACACUACGGGUGAGAAAAUAUAGAAAUAAGUCACGAGAUUGAUUUGGAAAGGUUGGUUUCGUAACUCCUAAAGCAAACUCACCAUUUAAAAAAUGGUUGGCUGUUGUUCGAAAAAACUGGUCAUUUGAUUAUAAUCAUGCGGCAAGUUUCAAGAUUUUGUGUUCAGGACAUACAUAUAUGAUAAGGAACUUUAAUUAUACAUUUCCAAACAGAUGGGCAGUCAAGUGUGUUGCUCCUGCAAUUCAACUGAAAGUAUACAAAAUGAUUUCUUUGAUUGCAUUUCGCUAAAUUUAUUUGGGGAAAGUAGAGUUAAUUUUUAUCCUAAUCCGUCUAUUUCUUCCUUUUCUCAUAUAUGUCUGUAAACUGACUAAAUGGGGACUAGUGCAUUACCUUGGCUAAAAUUCUAUGUUGUAAUGAUGUGUUUUUAAGAAGAGGCAUCUUUCGGUGAUUGGAAAGGUGGGAUAUACUUUUUCUAUUUUGGUAAGGUAACAAGAGCUACUGAGAUAUACUUUUUCUAUUUUGGUAAGGUAACAAGAGCUUCCGAGAUAUACCUUUUCUAUUUUGGUAUGGAUUUCACCUAUUUUGGUACCGAUUGGUAC